rnacentral:rRNA from 1 species
UACGAAGGGGGCUAGCGUUGUUCGGAAUCACUGGGCGUAAAGCGCACGUAGGCGGAUCGUUAAGUCGGGGGUGAAAUCCCGAGGCUCAACCUCGGAACUGCCUUCGAUACUGGCGAUCUUUGAGUCCGGGAGAGGUGAGUGGAACUCCGAGUGUAGAGGUGAAAUUCGUAGAUAUUCGGAAGAACACCAGUGGCGAAGGCGGCUCACUGGACUGGUAUUGACGCUGAGGUGCGAAAGCGUGGGGAGCAAACAGG